GUAUAUAUUAACCGCCUUAAGGACCGGACUGUUUUGGCCAUGUUGUACGUUAAGGACCAGACCUGUUGUAACACUUUUGUCAUUUACUGUUCCCAUACAAAUUAUAUAUUGUUUUUUUCAGGACAUAUAGGAAUAGAAACAACAAAACAUGGGAAAUGGCUGUAUAAUCUAAAAGAGAACACAAAAACAAAAAUAUAGUGUAUUACUGUUAUAAAUUAUAUUUGUGCGCUGGUGAUCUUUUGCACUCACAAGAUUGAAGAUAUAAACCCAUUCAAAGGGUGCCUCCACCGAUGGUGUUGGGGGGCUGUAAACCCACGCCCUGGUCCGUGUGUGUUCCUUUAAGAACCGAAAUCCAGAGGAUGGUGGUAAAAUGGUGGUAAAAAAAUAUAUAAACGGCUUUAUUUAUAAAAGGUGAAAAUACACCAAUAAAGUAAAAACAGAAUUGGUUCUACGCGUUUCAUCCAAGUACUAUUUGACUUCCUCAGGAACCAAAAGUCAAUAUGUGUAACAGCAGCAUGCAACAAUGACAUACAGCAAUAAAACAGCCUAACACGCCCACCCUCAAGUUCUCUUAAAUAGGGCUAAUACCAUUGGUGGAUCCAUAGGCGUGUGUUCUCCUUUGAAAUUAGGUGAAUUGAUUCACCUGUGUGGGUCCUCAUUCAUAAGUUUCCUCAGUGAGUGAUUAUUCCAAACUGGAAGUGUAGUAACUUCAGCAUUUCCGUGCGUUCCACUUGUGGUUUAUCAUUGGAAUCAAUAUGGUUGUGCAUGCCACUGAUGGUGCUGCGGGCGUGAUAUACGGCCCGUGGUGGUGAUUAAAUGAUAUGUCCUAUCUCUAACACGGAACAUAAUUGACAUCUUAUGACGGUUCU